GAUGAGCCUGCACUUGAUUAGUUUGUUGGUGGGGUAAUGGCCUACCAAGACUGUGAUCAAUAGCUGAUUUGAGAGGAUGAUCAGCCACAUUGGGACUGAGACACGGCCCAAACUCC
rnacentral:rRNA from 1 species